GAGAAUCUUCCGCAAUGGACGAAAGUCUGACGGAGCGACGCCGCGUGAUGGAUGAAGCCUUUCGGGGUGUAAACAUCUUUUAUACGUGAGGAAGUUUAUUGACGUUAGCGUAUGAAUAAGGGGCUCCAAACUCUGUGCCAGCAGGAGCGGUAAUACAGAGGCCUCGAGCGUUAUCCGGAAUCAUUGGGCGUAAAGGGUGUGUAGGUGGUUGUAUUAGUCUCAAGUUAAAUCCUCGGGCUUAACUCGAGAAUCGCUUGGGAAACGGUACAACUAGAGGAUGCGAGGGGUGUACGGAACUCAUGGAGUAGGGGUGAAAUCCGUUGAUAUCAUGGGGAACACCAAAAGCGAAGGCAGUACACUGGCGCAUUCCUGACACUGAGACACGAAAGCUAGGGUAGCGAACGGGAUUAGAUACCCCGGUAGUCCUAGCCCUAAACGAUCCAGACUAGCUUUUUAGAGUAUCGACCCUCUGAGAGGCGAAGCCAACGCGUUAAGUCUGGCGCCUGGGUAGUACGAGCGCAAGCUUAAAACUCAAAGGAAUAGACGGGGACUUGCACAAGCAGUGGAUUAUGUGGUUUAAUUCGAUGAUAAACGAAGAACCUCACCAAGGUUUGACACCAAACUGAAAGCUUUUGGAAACAGAAGCCCUCUUCGGACAGUUUGGCAGGUGCUGCAUGGCCGUCGUCAGUUCGUGGUUUGAAUUGUUCCCUUAAGUGGGGUAACGAACGCAACCCUCGUUGCCAGUUACAAGUGUCUGGCGAGACUGCCCAGCCCAGAGUUUUCAAAGAAGUUUGAAAAUUGUGGGCUGGGAGGAAGGCGAGGAUGACGCCAGGUCAGCAUGGCCCUUUGACACCUUGGGCUACACACAUAAU
rnacentral:rRNA from 1 species